rnacentral:lncRNA from 1 species
GGAGAGAGAAGGGACGCACAACAAAAGGAUUUUCAUUUUGUGAGAAGAGAACACGCACAGAGUUCAUAUUGAAAAUCAGCUGAGGCGAGCAUUACACUUCCGUUGAAAGAAGCCAUUGGACAAGAAAAGGAACAGAUAGUUAGAAAAAGGAAGAACAAAGGAAGGUAGAAUAGAAGCUAACAAGGAGAACGAAAUUACUUACUCAAGGUAAA